rnacentral:rRNA from 1 species
AGCAGUAGGGAAUCUUCCGCAAUGGACGAAAGUCUGACGGAGCAACGCCGCGUGAGUGAUGAAGGUUUUCGGAUCGUAAAACUCUGUUGUUAGGGAAGAACAAGUACCAGAGUAACUGCUGGUACCUUGACGGUACCUAACCAGAAAGCCACGGCUAACUACGUGCCAGCAGCCGCGGUAAUACGUAGGUGGCAAGCGUUGUCCGGAAUUAUUGGGCGUAAAGCGCGCGCAGGCGGUCCUUUAAGUCUGAUGUGAAAGCCCACGGCUCAAACCGUGGAGGGUCAUUGGAAACUGGGGGACUUGAGUACAGAAGAGAGGAGUGGAAUUCCACGUGUAGCGGUGAAAUGCGUAGAGAUGUGGAGGAACACCAGUGGCGAAGGCGACUCUUUGGUCUGUAACUGACGCUGAGG